AUUGAACGCUGGCGGCAUGCCUUACACAUGCAAGUCGAACGGUAACAGGUCUUCGGAUGCUGACGAGUGGCGAACGGGUGAGUAAUACAUCGGAACGUGCCCGAUCGUGGGGGAUAACGCAGCGAAAGCUGUGCUAAUACCGCAUACGAUCUACGGAUGAAAGCGGGGGAUCGCAAGACCUCGCGCGGACGGAGCGGCCGAUGGCAGAUUAGGUAGUUGGUGGGAUAAAAGCUUACCAAGCCGACGAUCUGUAGCUGGUCUGAGAGGACGACCAGCCACACUGGGACUGAGACACGGCCCAGACUCCUACGGGAGGCAGCAGUGGGGAAUUUUGGACAAUGGGCGCAAGCCUGAUCCAGCCAUGCCGCGUGCAGGAUGAAGGCCUUCGGGUUGUAAACUGCUUUUGUACGGUAACGAAAAGCUCUCUCUAAUACAGGGGUGAAUGACGGUACCGUAAGAAUAAGCACCGGCUAACUACGUGCC
rnacentral:rRNA from 1 species